GAUGAACGCUGGCGGCGUGCCUAAUACAUGCAAGUCGAGCGAAGCGGGGACGGGUGAGUAACACGUGGAUAACCUCCUAUAAGACUGGGACAACUUCGGGAAACAGGAGCUAAACCGGAUACUGAUGGAUGGAUCCGCGAUGAAUUAGCUAGUUGGUAAGUUAACGGCUUAGCAAAGAAACGAUGCAUAGCCGACCUGAGAGGGGGAUCUGCCACACUGGAACUGAGACACGGUCCAGACUCCGACGGGAGUCAGCAGUAGGGAAUCGUCCGCAAGGGGCGAGAGCCUGACGGAGCAACGCCGCGUGAGUGAUGAAGGUCUUCGGAUCGUAAAACUCUGUGAUUAGGGAAGCGGUACCUAAUCAGAAAGCCACGGCUAACUACGUGCCAGCAGCCGCGGUAAUUC
rnacentral:rRNA from 1 species